GACCUCAAAACCAGUCCUACACUUUGUAACUCUAUCAUAACUGGGCCCUGUGGGCUGGUCUUUCUUGUCCUAAGAUGAGCAAAAAAGAUACUGUCAUGGAAACCCACUUACUUGGUUGGAUUUUCUCAUAAAUCUGUUACAAUGCAAGGUUUCAAUUUCUCACAGCUUCAUGGACAUGAUCCAUCCCACCCCACUCCACAUGGCUCAUCUUUCUCAGAUCCCACUGUGGUUUCCAUCCCAGUGAGACAAGGUCCAUGGAACACAACUGCUUUGGUCCAAAAGCUCCCGUAGAGGUGGUUUGAGGAGAGCAAGGGCUGGCUGCAAAGUGGUACAAACUGUUCUCACCUGCUCCUCCUGCCUAUGAACAAAUGGCCAAAGAUAUUUUAGGUGCCAAUAACU